ACUCCUACGGGUGGCUGCAGUGGGGAAUAUUGCGCAAUGGGGGGAACCCUGACGCAGCCAUGCCGCGUGAAUGAAGAAGGCCUUCGGGUUGUAAAGUUCUUUCGGUAUUGAGGAAGGUUGAUGUGUUAAUAGCACAUCAAAUUGACGUUAAAUACAGAAGAAGCACCGGCUAACUCCGUGCCAGCAGCCGCAGUAAUACGGAGGGUGCGAGCGUUAAUCGGAAUAACUGGGCGUAAAGGGCACGCAGGCGGUUAUUUAAGUGAGGUGUGAAAGCCCUGGGCUUAACCUAGGAAUAGCAUUUCAGACUGGGUAACUAGAGUACUUUAGGGAGGGGUAGAAUUCCACGUGUAGCGGUGAAAUGCGUAGAGAUGUGGAGGAAUACCGAAGGCGAAGGCAGCCCCUUGGGAAUGUACUGACGCUCAUGUGCGAAAGCGUGGGGAGCAAACAGGAUUAGAUACCCUGGUAGUCCACGCUGUAAACGCUGUCGAUUUGGGGGUUGGGGUUUAACUCUGGCGCCCGUAGCUAACGUGAUAAAUCGACCGCCUGGGGAGUACGACCGCAAGGUUAAAACUCAAAUGAAUUGACGGGGGCCCGCACAAGCGGUGGAGCAUGUGGUUUAAUUCGAUGCAACGCGAAGAACCUUACCUACUCUUGACAUCCUAAGAAGAGCUCAGAGAUGAGCUUGUGCCUUCGGGAACUUAGAGACAGGUGAUGCAUGGAUGUCGUCAGCUCGUG
rnacentral:rRNA from 1 species